rnacentral:rRNA from 1 species
AUUGAACGCUGGCGGCAUGCCUUACACAUGCAAGUCGAACGGCAGCACGGGGGCAACCCUGGUGGCGAGUGGCGAACGGGUGAGUAAAGCAUCGGAACGUGCCCAGUAGUGGGGGAUAGCUCGGCGAAAGCCGGAUUAAUACCGCAUACGACCUACGGGUGAAAGCGGGGGACCGCAAGACCUCUCGCUAUUGGAGCGGCCGAUGUCAGAUUAGCUAGUUGGUGGGGUAAAGGCCUACCAAGGCAACGAUCUGUAGUUGGUCUGAGAGGACGACCAGCCACACUGGGACUGAGACACGGCCCAGACUCCUACGGGAGGCAGCAGUGGGGAAUUUUGGACAAUGGGCGCAAGCCUGAUCCAGCAAUGCCGCGUGCAGGAAGAAGGCCUUCGGGUUGUAAACUGCUUUUGUCAGGGAAGAAAUCUUCUGGGUUAAUGCCUCGGGAGGAUGACGGUACCUGAAGAAUAAGCACCGGCUAACUACGUGCCAGCCGCCGCAGUAAUAC